rnacentral:tRNA from 1 species
AAGGAGCUAGUCCAAUAAAGACCUCUGAUUUCGGCUCAGAAAAUUAUGGUUAAACUCCAUAGCUCCUCU